rnacentral:lncRNA from 1 species
CAUCAACUGCCUUCUGAUGGGUGAGUUCUAGACCAUCUGGGACAGCUGUAACCAUGUCCCCACAAGCCCAUGCAUAGCAAGGAGCAAGACCUCUGGCAUCACUGUGCCUCAGCCAGACCUUUCCCCACCACACCAGCACUGCCACCAUGGAAGCCUCCACACCAAGGUGGGUGGGCUGUGCUCUCUCCUCCCACAGACACCAUCCCACCUCCAACCUUAGCCUCCCCUUCUUUCCUAGCCUGCCAUUUGCUUCUUUGGCCCUUCCUCCCAAGCCUUCCCCCAGCAUAUUGGCAGGCUUGGCUCCACAGCCAGUGGUCCCCUUUGGGGUCACCCCCUUGAACACCACUAUGCCUUCACAGUCCCCCCAACUGGGGCCUCCAUCUAGCUUGGGUAGGAGCUUCCUUCCCACUCACCAGGGCCCAAAGCCCAACAGUAUUCUCAAGGCUUCACCUGUAUGUAGCUCCAGCUGGCCAGCUCUAAGGGUAUAACAACACACUCCACACGGGAAGCCACCUCACAUCCUUAGAGCCACCAUCCCACCAAUCCCUGGAGUUCCUGAUGGGAAGAAGCUCAGAGCCCCCAUCUUUGCCAGCUGUCAGCAGUUUGGAUACCUGGGAGUUCCAGGUCUAGGAGCAGCACCAUUCCCAUCCUUGACAGCAGGCCCCACAACCUUGGGCAGCCCAAACCUCUCAGUCCUUGUGGCUAACAAACAGAAAUCCCACCCAUGGUGUCCAUGCCAGCUCCCAGACACAGGCUGCAAGGCCCACUGGUGCAUCUAGUACAUCAGCCUCUGCCUCUGUAGCUGCCACCCAGAGGCCAGGGCCUGUGGCCAGAGUUUGUCCAAAGAACAGGCAGCUCCAGUCAACAUGGGACAAAAAGGUUCCUCCCCCUAAAGGCUGCCAGUGUCAGUUACCUCAAAGCCAACUGGGAGGACAGACUUGUCAUCAGGUCCGAUGUCUCACAUAGCAGUAAUGAGAAUUUACUCAAAAUGUAGGGGAAUCUAAAACCAGAGAGCACCAUGAAGCAAACUUGGGACAGAACACCUACACUGCUCCUAGCCAGAGCAUCACCAUGAUGCCCAAGAAACACAGACCAAGAGCAAACAGGUGCAAGGAAAUACUGGAGUUCCCACCCUGAGUGCCAUCCCUCAAAGUCUGCCCUCCCAGAAAUCCCUAAGCUCACACCAACCCAAGAAAGGCUACCUAUUCGCUCAUUUGUCCUGUGACAUCAAUGGGAUCUGGGAGUCCAAAUUUGCUCCCAGAUCUCAUAUGAGACUUGGGGCCAUUUGCAUCUUCCCUCAGAGAGGAGGGAAUCCAAGCAACAGACAGCAACAUGGGACAAGCUUAGGAGAGAACAACUCCAGUGCCCCUAGGCAGAGCACCACAGUGAGGACCAAGAGACACAAAGCAAAGCACAAAACAGAGCAAAGAACCACUGGUGUUCCUAUAGUCACUGCCGCCCCCAAAGCCUUCCCAAGCAGAAACUCUUAAGCUCUCUUGGGGGAGCCAGCACCACAUCCAAAAAGGUCACCUCUACUUGCAAUCUGUCUCAUUGCCACCAAUGGGGUUUGGGGGCCCAGACUAGCUCUAGGAUCUCAUAUCUGCCUUUGGGGCCAUGUGUAUCGCAAAGAGGAGAAACAAGAUAUCACCAGCACAGAAAUACAGCAGAUCAUUAAGGACUAUUUUGAAAACGUGUACUCCAAUACAGUGAAAAGAAAAAGAAGAAAUGGAUACGUUUCUAGAUAUAUAUGAUCUGUCAAAAUUGAAUCAAGAGGAAAUAAAAAUAACUUGUAAUGAGAUAGACACAGUAAUAAAAACCCUUCUAUCAACUAGGGGUAGGGAGUUCAAGAGAAGAAUAAGGAGAUGGUGUGGGUGGGGAAUUCAUACAGAGCUGGAGACAGACAGGAGUGAAGAGAUCAAGUGAACGGACUGCAUGAGGAAGGCCAGGCAGUGGGAACCCUGUGGGUUAAGGCAGAAAGAAUGAUACCUGUGAGCAUCUCAGGAUGCAGAGAGGGAGAAGGACGGGAUUCAGAAGGAAAGGAAGAUUGAGCCAUACCAUGGAAACAGCCAAAGUUGGCAGGAUGGCAUCAUCCCUCCCCCUGCCCUCCAUCCCUCAAGUCUAUUUGCAUCUGUGCCUUAAACUUCCCAAAAUACUACCAUCCUCACCACCAUCACUGUCCCAAUUCCAGCCUCUCCCAGCCUCACCUCCUCCCUGCCUUGCCCAAAACAAGUUAAAAAAUUCAAAGCCACCAGCUUUUAAAAUAUAGCUCUUUUCCCUGUACCUUUUCCUUCCAUCUGCUUGUAACUUGUACUCCAAGUCAGCUCUAUAGGGGCAGUUGUGUUUGCCACACAGGCUCUUUCUUCUUUAGAGUUGGAGAAACUGAAGCCAAGAGAAGUAAUUUCUAUUUCUAUUUCAGAUCUUGAUCUAUACCACCUCCAGGAAGCCCUCCUGACCACCCCACUACCCUGUCAGGUUGGGUUUCCUGGUUAUUUGUUUUUAUAUAACUAUGUUUGGGGGGCUGUAGAGAACUGGCCUCAGGUUGUCACUCUUUUUCAAUUUGUUUGGUUUAGUCAAUGCCUUUCUAUCUCACAAAGCAUGCAGAAGAUGCCAGAGAAACAGUGAAUGAGUGAAUGUCAGUUUGGGUUCUUGUGACAAGUGCCAGGAAGAGGUGUUAGUGGAACAUGGAGGGAGCACCUCAUGGUCCCCACAUGGGGUAUGAAGAGUUUUGGAAGCUUCUAGAAGGAGGUAAUGACUUGACUGGAGCUUGAAACUUGAGUUGCAACUAGAACACACAGGAUCGGACUUGGUGGGAGGCUCUGCAUAAACAAAGGCAUGUAGGUGAUCCCCAGCCCCCGCCAACUUCAGAAACCUGGGUUCAAGGACUAAUGGCGAAGCCCUCUGGCCAUAGUCCCAUAACCCCAGGUGCCUUUGAGGCAGUCAAAGUGGUAACAUCCAUCCUCUGCUCACCCCCCUUACUCCAGUGGUUACCAUGGGGCAUUUGAUUCACCUAUCAUUUGCCCCACUAUCCCACAGUGAGAUUUAUUUUUAAGUCACCUUCAAAGUCCUCCAGGCUUCCUGAUUUAGUCACCCUGUCUUCUGUGACUCUUUUGUAAAGGUAAAAUUGGGAUCCCUGGAGGACUGCAGCCCAUGAACCUCAUUGGCUCAGCCUCAUUUACCCCAUUAUUGUUGCUAUUCCUCUCUCCCCACCAAGUGGCAGAGGCAUCUGUUUUGGUGCUUGAGUUCUUUGCACCAGGAGUUUAGAAUAGACUUGUUUAUGUAGAAGAAUACAAAAAUCCAACACCUAAUGUUUCUUCCCAUGUUCCUGGUCUUUGACAAAACAAUUCUAGUUGGAUAAUAGUGUAAUAUUUCAGGGACCUAUUUAAAGACAGUUUUUUCCUUUGAUUCUAGCAUAUACAGACUCCAUGCUCUAUUAAAUCUUUUUCCCCCUUGGUCACAGGUUCAUUGUUACAAGAAGGGCAGUCAGUGAAAAUUCUUUCUAGGGAGAUAGUAUGGGCUUAAUAUUUCCCAUACUUACAGAUUACAACAGAGAUUCCCCAAACAUUUUGUGUCUUCUGUGUAUCUCACAUCUCUUCUCAUUAUCUGGACUACAAAUCUGCCAAUUUCCCCAUCCAUGCAAAUUGCCUAAGGAUAGAGACCUCCAAAGAGCUCAAACAGCAAGGAAACCAAAGAGCCAGACCAGGGCCUCUGUAGGAGUGAGAAACCUCACCAGAGAGCCAAAUAAAAUGACAGCCUCCUGCCUCUCAACUCUGAGGGCAAAGCUGCCAGGAAAUGGGUGGGAAAGGGAUGCCUCCACUUCUCCCAGGAUCACAGAGGUCAGGGUGAGACUUGUGGUAUGUGUCUAGAAAGGGCUGACACCAGGUCACAUGAGGAAGAAGGUGGAUGCUUAGUGAGUAAAACGUUUUCUCUUGGACCCCUGCCCCAGGAGUGGAUCUUGCCCUGGAAGAAGAUGGUCUGGUGGUUGGUCCAGGAGGCCUUGGGUGGAUGAGCAAUGGGCCCUAAAGAUGAGGUUCCUCUUCACUGUGUCCCCAUGAGAAGCAGAGCUGCCAGGGUGAGAGGCUAGUACAGAUGUGCUGGCCUACAUGCAGCCUUGCUUGUGGUGGUGCUGCUGCCCCAAAGCAAACUUGUGCAUUUCUUCUUGAGUGGCCCUUUGGGGAUGACACUGAAAGUAAAUGCAUGGGUGGUUCCAAGCACACAGUUGGUCUUUGUCCUAUGUAACUUGGUCCCCAUGGAAAUUCUCUGACUAGUGGGACCACAGUUGUUCAGACCCAAGCUUGAUUCAUAGAUCUGUCUUAUGCUUGGGAGUCCCUCCUCUUUGAAAGGAGAUGUUCAUUACCCAAAGGCAGAUAUCAGAUCUGGGGUAAAGUCUCUGUACUACCCUUUCACCGAGGCCACUGCCAUGGGCACAGACAUGUGGUUUUCCUUCAAUGGUGCUGGGCCCUGAAUGGGACUUGGGGAUUUCUUGAGUGAGCCUUUGUAUUGAGCAGGAAUAUGUAGGGGCGCCUGUGCCUCCAUGCACAGGUUUGCUGUUUGUCCUUUGUCUCUUGGUCACUGGAGGUGCUCUGGUUAGAGGUGCUGCAGGCUUUCAUGCUCCAGACUUGCCCCAUAGCACUUUCUGGUCCUUGGGGGACCCUCUUCCUUUGAAGCAGAUGAUCAGUGCUCCAAAGGCCAGUAUCAGUGUGGAAGCAAGUCUGUGCUACCAGAUCCCAGUGAUGUCAUGGGCAUGGACUUAAAAAUGCAAGCAGCCUUUCUGGGUGAGGUGCUGGCCCCUGAGUUGAACUUAGGGGUUUAUACUUGGGCAGACAUUGGAGAUGCCACUAAAAUUAGAAGCACUUAUAGCUAGGGUGUCAAAGUUGGCCCUAAGCUGGACCCAUGAUGCUCAACAAAGACCAACAGGGGAGAGAGAAAGCAAGUGUAGUCUUCUACCAGAGCCUGGGAUCAGAAGCCUUUAAAUCCAAAGCUGAUGGAUGCCAUCCUUUCCCCUUUGAAUGUGAUAGUUGUCAAGUGAGUCACAGUCAUUUCACAGGAGCAUUGCUAGCACAGCUAGGCAUUUGAGAGGAAUGAAAACUAGGAUAGGAGGGUUUUGAUUGGGAGUGGAUAUUGGGAUGUUUAAUGCAAUUGUAUUUCUAGAAGGUAAACCCUGAUGAGCAUUGCUGAAAAUAUAGAACCAUCUAGAGGACUGAAAUUUGGAUGAUAGAUCUAUCUAUCUAUCUAUCUAUUGAUCUAUCUAUUUUUUGUACCAGAUAUUGAAUGGAGGGGUUCUUAACCACUGAGCCUGUGCCCAGCCUUUUAAAAAUGUAUUUAUUUAGAGAUAGGGUCUAGUUAAAUUGCUUAAGGCCUCAAAAAUUUGUGGAGGCUAGUUGUGAACUCCAGAUCCUCCUGACUCAGGCUGUCCAGUGCUUGGAUAACUGCUGGUUAAUAUUUUUGUUAGGGAAUCCCCAAGAUUAGGGAGAGUGGGUCAUAAAAGAAUUCUUUGUUAUUGUAAAGGGCUGGGGGUUAUAGUUUAAAUUAGUCUAGUAGUGUUCUUAAAUAAUGACACCAUGGAUCACUGAGGGAUUUCUAUGGUCCUAGUUCAGUCACACUCUUUUCUUGCUUUGUGAAACUGAGAUAAAUAUUUCUAUAAUGAUACACCACAGGACUCCACGUCUUGACUGGUAACUAAAGAUUUGUUAGUAGUGUUUUCAAAUAUGAAACUAUAGAUGAGUUAUCAAGUGACGUGUUUUGUCUAGGAAUCAUUUCCUUCCAAAUCAUUCCAAAGAGGUCAUACUGGAAGAGGAUCUAGUCAUUGCAAUACUGACCAGCUCAUCAGUAAUUUUCAUAAUUUCAUCCUCUGUGUAUAAUCAUGCAAUAGAAUGUGUUUGGGAAAGUAUCAGGCUUAAAAUUGAAACAACUAAGAUAUUUAUUUGCCACCUAUGAACAACCUCCAGCAUCAGUGGCCCAAUUUGCCUGCUUACAAUCUGGGCAGCAUAUUACCAAAUUCCCUGUGAUGGAGGAAGAUUGUCCCUUAAAACUGGAGAUCCAGCCCACUGGUGAGGGGCUGGGGUCAGAGCCUGAGGGUUGCUGGCCUGAUCUGGACCUUGACCCCGUGGAGCAAGCUGGAGAGGUAUCUCUGGCUACUCUAAGAGCCCUGGAAGCACCUUCCAGUCCUUUCUCCUUUCUUCCUACACCAUCCCCUUCCCAACCUUCCCUGACUCCUCCCUAAACCUGACUCUGGGUUCCAGAUACAGGGUCAUCUGGGCACUGGGCCUCUGAGCUCUGGGCCUCUAGGCAACAGUGCAAGGCAUGCAUACAUUGCAGAAGUCUGGGGAGAGCCAGACUGGCCAGACUCCACCCAUCUGGACUUGGGGAAAAGCAGCCUUUUUGGAAAAUACCCUCCUAGAUCUAUCAAAUUUAGCCUGACAUUGGCUUCUUCCAAGAGAUUAUCAAGAAAGGAAAAAUAUAAGUUAUCAAGUUUUGUCUUGCUAAAGGGUAGUGUGAGAAAAGACAAACACGUCAGAGUUGGUAGAGCUGGAUUCAAAUCCCUCUUUACUGCAUGGCCUUGACCAGGGUACAGAACUAGGUAUAACCUUGGUUUUGUAUCUUGUAAAAUAAAUAUACUAGGAUGGUAAGCUGUGGGUAAAUUAAGCUCUUGAACACUACCUCAAUUUGGGGGCCAGGUAGGCAUUCAGCAUUAUUUCCAUGCAGAAAUAUAAUCUGAGAUUAAAGGUGAUACAUUUAGAAAUGCACCUUUGGAAGACAACUGACAUGUGAGGUGGGGAGUUGAAAAUUACUGCAUGUUUUUAGAUGAAAUAAAAAUAUAUGGAAGAUUUUAAGCCAAAGCAUGAAAUGUCAGGUUGGGAUCAUGGUAUCAUAGGCUGUUUUCAAAUUUGUUUAAAAUUACAUUGAUCAGCAUCCACUUAUCAGAGAAAACAUUCAGCUUUUGUUUUGGGGGGGGAUUGGCUUAUUUCACUUAGCAUGAUUUUCUCUAGUUCCAUCCAUUUACUUGCAAAUUCCAUAAUUUUAUUCUUCUUUAAGGCUGAGUAGUAUUCUAUUGUGUAUAUGUACCACAUUUUUUUUUAUCCAUCUGUUGGGGGGCAUCUAGGUUGGUUCCAUAGUUUAGCUAUUGUGAAUUGAGCUGCUAUAAAUAUUUAUGUGGCUGAUGAUGCUGAUUUUUAAGGAAGAAAGAAAUAACUUUGGUUUGUGUCGAAUGGUGUGAGGGGAGGGUUGGGGCGGUAUGGAUUGAAAGAAUGGUAAAUGAGACAGACAUUAUUACCCUAUACACAUGUAUGAUUACACUACUGGAAUGACUCCGCACCAUGUACAGCCAGAGGAAUGAGAAAUUGUGCUCCAUUUGUGUAAAAUAUGUCAAAAUGCAUUCUAUUAUCAUGUAUAACUAAUUAAAACAAUUAAAAAAUAAAAAAGAAGAAAAAAAUUACAAUGAGCUAAAUCUAUAUAGUUUGAGCCUUCUAGGAUAUCCCCACCUCUGUCACAUGCACAUGGAGCACUGUCCACAAGUUUUUACGCUUCUUUACAGUGUCACCAAAUAUAUCAUUAUAUGUAUAUACACAUAUAUGCAGAUAUACAUUAUGUAAUAUUUUGUUCCUUUGGUCUUGUUUUGGGAUCUUCUGAAAAUAGAAUCUCAUACUCUCAUAUACAUUCUUUUGCAGCUUUCCCUCAUGAAGUUGCACCCCUUCAGCUGAACAUCAGGAAGAAGGAAAAACCAGACAAGCUUGAGGGUCAGAAGGACGCUAGGCCUGCUCCAAUCACUCUGGAAGCUGACUAGCCUGCACACACCCACAGCAUGAGGAAACAUCAGCCCUGCUUCAGCGACUUGGGGGCUGGCUAAACAACACACAGUAAAAGAUAAACUGACCAACAGGAUAAAUGGACUGUUUCAUCCUCUAAGACAGCUCUUAUACUGUGAUGUAUUGCUACCCCUUACUUCUAUCAUAUAUAUAGUCAUUUCCUUGGGCUUUACUAAAGGAUUGAUAAAGUCAGAAACAUAGUUAACAAUAUCAGAAAGCUAGCACAUGUACCAGUUCAAACCUGAAAGGCAUUAAAGCUUGGCUUCCAAGCUCAGUAUUUGGAGGAUGGUUUUCUAUUCUUGGUGGAUUCAAAAACUCAAAAGCAUUAUGCCCUUACCUUGUUUAUUGUUUCCAUGUGUGUCUCCCCUUUACAUUAAAACCAUAGAGUCUACUACAGAAGCAGCAGUUUUAAAAAAGACAACAACUAAAAUCAUAAAGUUAAGCCAAGAAGAUAAUAAUUGUCUUUAAUCUAAAGGAUUAAAUAAUGAGCAUCAAAGGGGGUAAUGUUGUAGUCCCCCCCCAAAAAAAAAUAACACUUAAUUUUAACAUAGAAUCCUCUCUCCUAGUCAACAAGAUCUUUUUUUAAAAUGUCAGCAGGAGUUCUGAAGAGCUCAUUGUAGGUUGAGCUCUUUGUUGUAGAGGCCAGGUUUCUCUUUCUUGUGAAAGUUAGGUCCGCAAUCAACUUGUUGAUGUGCAAGUUACUGUUUUCUUAAAAAACUUGUGAAAUCUCUGUCCAGCCUAAGAAAAUGGAACAAAAAGUAUCUGUUAUGUUAACCACCCUGUUUUGUUAACUACCCACUGAGUAUAAAUCUCAAAGAAUAUCCAGACUCUGGAUCCAGAAAUUCUACACUAGCCCCUCUGGACCACUGCAGCUUAAAUAAACCUGCUUCCUGAAAAUUUCUCAGGUGUUCAGACUCAUCUGUCAUAUACCAAAGUCUGCUUGAAAUGCUAGAAUGUCCCCAUUCUUGAAGGGCAUACAGAGACAGUCUCUCUAAAUCUGCCAUAAUAUGAAUUCUAUGCAAGGUCAUUAAUCACAAAAAGCUAAAGGGAGAUGGCACUAUAGUGACCUGCUGGAUGUAAAGUCAAUGUUGUAUGAUAAAACUCACAUUGUAUACAUAUAUUAAAUUAUUGUGAUAUACCCCAUAAAGAUAUGUAAAUGAUACAUCUGAAUUUUUUUAAUCUGUGGGAAAAUGUGAUUUGUUUGAAAUCCGAAUGCCAGGUUUUCAUUUUAUGUUGUUUCUAAUAUGCUGUAAUUAUGUUUAAUGAUAUCAUUACAUUUUUAGAUCCGAAAGACAUCAGCAUUUUAUAUUGUAAAGAGGAUUUUGUUAGUAAAAGGGGUAUGUUAGAGAUUAGAAUGUAUGCUUUGCCACUUUAAAAGUUAACAUGUUGAAUUAAAUACUUGAAUUAGUGUUAUGUUCCAUCUUCUCCUAUGCAAAUUUUUAAAAUAUUUUGUUUUUUGAUGUUUAGGUACACAUUACAAUAGAGUGUAUUUUGACAUAUUAUACAUACAUGGCGUAUAACUUAUUCUACUUAGGAUCCCAUUCUUGCAGUUGUACAUGUUUUGGAAUUACUGGUAAUGUAUUCAUAUAUAAACAUCUUGACUUAAUAUAACUUUAUUUUUAAAUUUAUGUGUAGCCUAAAUUUUUAAAAAUAAUUCAUAUGUUUUGAAACUGAUUGGAUAAUUC